AAGUAUGAAACAUAGGUUUCAAAACGCUUAGGCCGGUGUCACAUGGUCCGGAAUCAAUCCGGAACGGGACGUCCGGUAGCCAACGGGUGACGAUUUUCCGUUCGAUCCGACGACGGAGAUAUCCGGGCGGUAUGCUCGGCUUAGGAUAAUUAUGAGGUCUUCGACGUCGUUGCAAUUUAUGGCUAUUAAAUAUUGGAAAGCGGGACCUGUGACUUUUGGUUGCGCCAAUUUAGCGAAAGUCAUUUUAACUUGACUACCGCGCAUAAAUUUUCACUCGCUAUGCAGUUAUUCGAUGUAUGAUAAGUAAUGUAAUAGCACCAGGAUGUGGCGAAAUUAGUGAAAUUGAAGAUUCGUUGCACGACUUUUGUUCGUGGCGAGUUUUAGAUUUUGUCAUGUACACACGUCGUAUUUUGAGUUCAGAAUAACUGUCUCAUUCGGAGUUCGUUCGCGGCACGGCUCUCACUAAUUAGUAUGGUGCCGGAAAUAUUGGAAGUUGAAAACUUUUUUUCUAGAAAUUUCGGACCACUAGACUGAGGGGUAGGUUGACGGACAAAGCUGCUGCCACCGGAAUGUUACGGGGUAGAACCCGUAGAUUUCGAGGAGUGGCAACUGAAACCUACUCUACACCCAGCCAAGGCUAUUUUAGAGUUCGUACUCAUCGAUUAUGCACUAACGUGCCACUACUCCCAAUGCAGGAAGUGACUGAAGAGAUGGUUUAAAUGGUAUAGUUGGUUUAUUAUGAAUGAUUCAGUAAUUUAUUUAUAACAGUGGUCGGGAUAUAAGAGGCGGUCUGAGGAAAGAGCUUCGAUUAGUUUUUGAGAGAUGUUAAUUAUAAGUAACUCGUGCGAAAGCUAGGAUUUGAAGAGUUUACAGGAAUGUAGAAGGAUAUCUACUUGCGAGAGAUGAACCUGCUGACUCGGCAAAGAUAAGGGGAGUUAGGGGAUGCAGGGCUUAAAGUGACUGUAAGACUGACAAUGAGGAAAAGGAAUAUGAAGCCUGGAAGACGUAACACCUACUUCAAUUUCUUAAAGUAUAAAAAAAGAAUCCUUCAUCAAAUUUUUUGAACCAACAAAUUAAAAACAAUAGCUUCUACAUAUCUGAUACUUAACAAGUUGGACCUCAUCGGUGAUCAUGACUGGAAAUUUCAGUAGUUGUGAUGAGUGUGAAAUUAAAUAAUCAAAGCUACACAAUUCUUCACGUUGACAAAAUUAACAAAUGAAGCGGUUGUUGAUUGGCAGCUUAAACACCUAAUUGAUGCGAGAGAACAGUGGAGCGAACCUAGUCGCAGAAUAAUACCGUCGCUGCCGCGCAUUGGGAACAAAGAUUUUUGUAGUUGGGGAUGGACGAUUUGCUAAUAAAUAAUUUUACCCUUCCGUGAUAUUACUAUCGAUGAUCUGAAGGAUCGGUUAUUACCUAUAGGUAUAAUUGGUAUAUACAAAUCCGAAAAUCCUGAAAUUUUCGGACUAUGAAAGUGUAGUCCCUGCAUUCCACGGAGGACCGACGGAUAACUGAGUGACAGAACGAAUCGGUUCUGCAACAUAUAGUAUGGACUACACGAUACCCAAUUGAAGCCAAUCGCUAUCUUUUUCGAAGACUCUUUUUGGUUACUUUUUUCACCGCUCACAUAAUGUCAGGGACGCCUUACCAGAUAGUGAAUCCUGCCCACACAACCUUAUAACGACAUCGUUAAAUUGGAAUCUAAAUAAUUUAUAGAUUCUCUAUUUACGAGAACAUUUUUUAAUGAGAAUAUUUGAAAGAACAUUUUCAUUAUCAUGGUGUACACGUAUUUCAUCUGCAACGCAAGAUCAGAUAAGUCACAAGGUUUAUCAUUCUAUCGAUGAGUAAUAUUGUGUGAUUAUAAUUAGCCUCGGAUGUGCUACGCAUUCAAAAACUUGUGUGAAUUUUAUGUUAAUUCGAGAUUAUAAAUUACGCUCAGACAUGACCAAAAGACAAUACUGGCUAGA
rnacentral:lncRNA from 1 species